AUUGAACGCUGGCGGCAGGCUUAACACAUGCAAGUCGAGCGAGCGGCGGACGGGUGAGUAAUGUCUGGGAACCUGCCCGAUGGAGGGGGAUAACUACUGGAAACGGUAGCUAAUCCCGCAUACCAUCAGAUGUGCCCAGAUGGGAUUUGCUAGUAGGUGGGGUAAUGGCUCACAUAGGCGACGAUCCCUAGCUGGUCUGAGCGGAUGACCGUCCACACUGGAACGGGGACACGGCCCGGACGCCUAGGGAAGGCAGCAGUGGGGAAUAUUGGACAAGGGGGGCAGGCCGGAUGAAGCAAGGCCGCGUGUGUGAAGAAGGCUUUCGGGUUGUAAAGCACUUUCAGCGAGGAGGCGUUACUCGCAGAAGAAGCAACGGCUAACUCCGUGCCAGCCGCCGCGGUAAUAC
rnacentral:rRNA from 1 species